rnacentral:rRNA from 1 species
AACUUGUCUUCUAAUUAAAGACCAUACAAAAGAUUUAACAUUUCAUAAAAUAUAAAUAUCUAUAUAUUUAAAUUAUUUUAAUUUUUAAAAAAAACUUAUAAAAUAAAAAGACGACAAGACCCUAUUGAACUUAACUCUAGUUAAACUGGGGUAGUUCAAUAAAUAUAUUUUUAUAUUAUUAUAAUAAUUAUAUUCCAGACCUAAUAAAAUUAAUUAAAAGAUCAAGUUACCAUAGGGAUAACAGCGCAAUAAUUUUUUAAAGCUCUCAUUAAAAAAAAAGAUUACGACCUCGAUGUUGAAUUAAUAUACUAAUUUGUGCAAUAACAAAAAAAGACAAGUCUGUUCGACUUAUAAAUAAUUACAUGAUCUGAGUUCAAACCGGAG